rnacentral:rRNA from 1 species
UUGGAGGGCAAGUCUGGUGCCAGCAGCCGCGGUAAUUCCAGCUCCAAUAGCGUAUAUUAAAGUUGUUGCAGUUAAAAAGCUCGUAGUUGAAUUUCGGGAUCAAUUUAUUGGUCGUGCCAACGGUACGCACUGGUACAAUUGGUUUCUCCCUUCUGACGAAGCAUGAUGUCAUUAAUUUGAUGUCGUGGGGAAUCAGGACUGUUACUUUGAAAAAAUUAGAGUGUUUAAAGCAGGCUUUGGCUCGAAUACAUUAGCAUGGAAUAAUGAAAUAGGACGUUUGAUCUUAUUUCGUUGGUUUCUAAGAUCGACGUAAUGAUUAAUAGGGAUAGUUGGGGGCAUUAGUAUUCAAUUGUCAGAGGUGAAAUUCUUGGAUUUAUUGAAGACUAACUACUGCGAAAGCAUUUGCCAAGGAUGUUUUCAUUAAUCAAGAACGAAAGUUAGGGGAUCGAAGACGAUCAGAUACCGUCGUAGUCUUAACCAUAAACUAUGCCGACUAGGGAUCGGAUGAUGUUAAUUUUUUAAUGACUCAUUCGGCGCCUUACGGGAAAC